CCUACGGGAGGCAGCAGUAGGGAAUUUUCGGCAAUGGGGGGAACCCUGACCGAGCAACGCCGCGUGAACGAAGAAGUUAUUCGUAAUGUAAAGUUCUUUUAACAGGGAAGAAAGAGAAAUUUGACGGUACCUGAAGAAUAAGCUCCGGCUAACUACGUGCCAGCACCCGCGGUAAUACGUAGGGAGCGAGCGUUAUCCGGAAUUAUUGGGCGAAAAGGGUGCGUAGAUGGAAUAGUAAGUCUUUUGUAAAAAUGCUGGGCUCAACCCAGUAGGGCAAAAGAUACUGCAAAGCUAGAGUAUGACAGAGGCAAGUGGAACUACAGGUGUAGCGGUAAAAUGCGUAAAUAUAUGUAAGAACACCAGUGGCGAAGGCGGCUUGCUGGAUCGAUACUGACAUUGAGGCACGAAAGCGUGGGGAGCAAACAGGAUUAGAUACCCCAGUAGUC
rnacentral:rRNA from 1 species